rnacentral:rRNA from 1 species
AUGAUUUUGCGGCGUGACGACGGAUCGGUAAUUUUUGCUGCCUACUGUGUUAUUUUUAAUUGUAACGAGGCGUUGGAGGCGGAGAUUCAUGCACUUAUGCAGGGGAUGGCCCUAGCGUUACAACAUACAGAACGGCAAGUAAUGGUGCAAUCUGAUUCUUCCGAAGCGCUAUCAAUCCUCUCAAGUGAUAGCUUGUCUUGUUCGGCUUAUGGACACCUAGUAGCAGAAAUCAAGACAUUGAUGAAUGAAAGGGAGUUUGUUCCACAGAAAAUUAGUAGAGCUCAAAACAGGGUAGCAGAUUGUAUGGCAAACUAUAGCCGUAUUGAGUCAUGUACUGCGGUGUGGAUGUGCAGAUGUCCUCCAUGUUGUGAGGACUUAUUGCCUCUCGAUUGUAACCCUAUAAGUUUGGAAUAA